UCCAUAUACGAGAAUUUUUAUACAUUUUUACAACAGAUUGCAAAACCAAAGAAAGAAACAGCAAAAUGGACUUGAAAUCAAUAAUAAUUGCCAUCGUUUUUGUGACAUUGAUCACAUUUACCAUUUCUUACAAUAAAGAAAAAUGUGAUGACCCUUUUAGUGAGAGGAUAUAUGAAAAAGAUGAAAAGUCACGAAUCUACUGUAAUGCAUGGUUUACGAGAUUUACAUUUAGGGAAAAUCAAUGUCAACGAUUUUUUUAUAACGGUUGCAAUGCCACAAGAAACAUUUUUCAAACGAUUGAGGAAUGUAAAGCUGCAUGUAAAAAAUAAAUGCCCCGCAUAUUAUUAAAUUACUUUGCGAGGCCUAGUUUACAAAUUAGACCUUUAAUCAGGACAAGUAA